rnacentral:rRNA from 1 species
UAAUACGGAGGAUUCGAGCGUUAUCCGGAUUUAUUGGGUUUAAAGGGUGCGCAGGCGGGCUAUUAAGUCAGUGGUGAAAUUUUGAAGCUCAACUUCAAAACUGCCGUUGAUACUGGUGGUCUUGAGAGAUGACGAAGUAGGCGGAAUGUGAUGUGUAGCGGUGAAAUGCUUAGAUAUGUCACAGAACACCGAUUGCGAAGGCAGCUUACUAGGGAUCUUCUGACGCUGAGGCACGAAAGCAUGGGUAUCAAACAGGAUUAGAUACCCUGGUAGUCCAUGCAGUAAACGAUGAGUGCUCGUUAUUUGCUCGUAGGAGUGAGUAACCAAGGGAAACCGAUAAGCACUCCACCUGGGGAGUACGCCGGCAACGGUGAAACUCAAAGGAAUUGACGGGGGCCCGCACAAGCGGAGGAACAUGUGGUUUAAUUCGAUGAUACGCGAGGAACCUUACCCGGGCUUGAAAUGUAGACGAACGAUUCAGAGAUGAAGAGGUCCAGCAAUGGCGUCUAUGUAGGUGCUGCAUGGUUGUCGUC